CCUAAAACAGCAAAAGAGGAGCUGGAAAUAUUUGAUUUAAACUUCAUUGGCUGGAGGAGUCUCCUCUCCAAGAACUAGGAAUUUCCUUUAUAAAAAAUUAUACCUACCGCUCAGCAGAAGAAAGAGAAUAUGACCAAGAGCUUUGAAGUUCUUGAGUAUCCUUCUCUGAAAGGCCGACCCAGAGAAGGAAGAAAGGGGGUUCCAGUUGUUGAUAUACCUCAAGAUGAGUCCGGGACAUUGGAUGUGGGAUUGAAGAGGUCAGCAUAGAAUACUACAAAUCAGAGGAAGAAAGGUAG